UCAUUAUUAUUUCACUCAACUGGUCGCGAGAUCAGCCGGUAAGCUGAGAGACCCACGCAGUCGGACUCUUCAGAUUAUCUCCUCAUCAGGCUAAUCACGGU
rnacentral:sRNA from 1 species